rnacentral:rRNA from 1 species
AUUGAACGCUGGCGGCAUGCCUUACACAUGCAAGUCGAACGGUAACGGGCCUUCGGGUGCCGACGAGUGGCGAACGGGUGAGUAAUGCAUCGGAACGUACCUUUCAGUGGGGGAGUAACGUAGCGAAAGUUACGCUAAUACCGCAUAUUCUGUACGCAGGAAAGCAGGGGAUCGCAAGACCUUGCGCUGAUUGAGCGGCCGAUGUCAGAUUAGCUAGUUGGUGAGGUAAAGGCUCACCAAGGCGACGAUCUGUAGCGGGUCGUGAGAGGAUGAUCCGCCACACUGGAACUGAGACACGGUCCAGACUCCUACGGGAGGCAGCAGU